GACGAACGCUGGCGGCGUGCUUAACACAUGCAAGUCGAACGGAAAGGCCCUGCUUUUGUGGGGUGCUCGAGUGGCGAACGGGUGAGUAACACGUGAGUAACCUGCCCUUGACUUUGGGAUAACUUCAGGAAACUGGGGCUAAUACCGGAUAGGAGCUCCUGCUGCAUGGUGGGGGUUGGAAAGUUUCGGCGGUUGGGGAUGGACUCGCGGCUUAUCAGCUUGUUGGUGGGGUAGUGGCUUACCAAGGCUUUGACGGGUAGCCGGCCUGAGAGGGUGACCGGCCACAUUGGGACUGAGAUACGGCCCAGACUCCUACGGGAGGCAGCAGUGGGGAAUAUUGCACAAUGGGAGGAAGCCUGAUGCAGCAACGCCGCGUGCGGGAUGACGGCCUUCGGGUUGUAAACCGCUUUCGCCUGUGACGAAGCGUGAGUGACGGUAAUGGGUAAAGAAGCACCGGCUAACUACGU
rnacentral:rRNA from 1 species